CUUAAUUUUUGUAAAAAAUUUCUGACAGAUUACUCUCAGCAUUUCGCUUGGGAUUAUUUUUCAUGAAAAUUUGUCAUUUGAGUGGUGGAAAAAGUGUGAAAAGUGUUUGUUGGAAUUCCCUGGGAUAGUUGUUAGUGAAUGUUCGUGGAAAAUUUUCCAAAAUUGCAAAAGUGCAGUGUUUUUCUACAGAUGUUGUUCCCAGUGGAAUCAAUAUUCCGGAGUGUGUGAACAUAACCUCAAAAUGUUGUUUUUCCCUAAAAAUUUUGUGUGACUAUCGCAGUUAUUUAUGUACAGAAAUUGUUUUUCUUUGCGAUAAUCUGGAAACCAAGACAUGCUCAUCAGAAGAACCGCAGAAAUUACUCGGAAGGACAAAUUUGUUACCAGGAACAAUGGGUAGAGUGGAGAAGAAGGUGUGCAGCUCAAAAGAUCCUAGAUUCCAUUGAUCAGCAGCUCUUUCUGGAAAAGCUUCAGGACUUCAGGAAAACUUAUGGAUACGUUUGGAUGAACAGGAGUAUUUGUAACCAAGAACAUUGACGACUACAAUUGGAAGAGCAUGAUAGUGGAUGAGGGGAAGGACUUUGAGGAAUAAUUAGAAAGUGCUUCACCAAAAUUCCUGCAAAAAUUGAUCCAGUGCAACUCUACAAAUUUGAUUCCGGAUACUGGAUGACACUGAUUUGAUUCCGGACACUGGUGAUAAUUAUGAUAAAUUUUAUGAAAAAUAAAUUCUCAUAUCUUGGUUUCCAA